AUACGGAUGGUGCAAGCGUUAUUCGGAAUCACUGGGCGUAAAGGACGCGUAGGCGGGUUGGCAAGUCAGAUGUGAAAUCCUACAGCUUAACUGUAGAACUGCAUUUGAAACUGCUAACCUAGAGUAUGGGAGGGGGAGAUGGAAUUAGUGGUGUAGGGGUAAAAUCCGUAGAUAUCACUAGGAAUACCGAAAGCGAAGGCGAUCUCCUGGAACAUAACUGACGCUAAGGCGUGAAAGCGUGGGGAGCAAACAGGAUUAGAAACCCUAGUAGUCC
rnacentral:rRNA from 1 species